CUACGGGGUGCAGCAGUGGGGAAUAUUGCACAAUGGGGGAAACCCUGAUGCAGCAACGCCGCGUGGAGGAUGACACAUUUCGGUGCGUAAACUCCUUUUAUAUGAGAAGAAAAUGACGGUAUCAUAUGAAUAAGCGCCGGCUAACUCCGUGCCAGCAGCCGCGGUAAUACGGAGGGCGCAAGCGUUACUCGGAAUCACUGGGCGUAAAGAGCGUGUAGGCGGGUAGUUAAGUUGGAAGUGAAAUCCUAUGGCUCAACCAUAGAACUGCUUCCAAAACUGAUUACCUAGAAUAUGGGAGAGGUAGAUGGAAUUUCUGGUGUAGGGGUAAAAUCCGUAGAGAUCAGAAGGAAUACCGAUUGCGAAGGCGAUCUACUGGAACAUUAUUGACGCUGAGACGCGAAAGCGUGGGGAGCAAACAGGAUUAGAUACCCCUGUAGUC
rnacentral:rRNA from 1 species